GAAUUUUGGACAAUGGGCGCAAGCCUGAUCCAGCCAUUCCGCGUGCAGGAUGAAGGCCCUCGGGUUGUAAACUGCUUUUGUACGGAACGAAAAGCCUUCUUCUAAUACAAGAGGGUCAUGACGGUACCGUAAGAAUAAGCACCGGCUAACUACGUGCCAGCAGCCGCGGUAAUACGUAGGGUGCAAGCGUUAAUCGGAAUUACUGGGCGUAAAGCGUGCGCAGGCGGUGAUGUAAGACGGAUGUGAAAUCCCCGGGCUCAACCUGGGAACUGCAUUUGUGACUGCAUCGCUGGAGUGCGGCAGAGGGGGAUGGAAUUCCGCGUGUAGCAGUGAAAUGCGUAGAUAUGCGGAGGAACACCGAUGGCGAAGGCAAUCCCCUGGGCCUGCACUGACGCUCAUGCACGAAAGCGUGGGGAGCAAACAG
rnacentral:rRNA from 1 species